GACGAACGCUGGCGGCGUGCUUAACACAUGCAAGUCGAACGGAAAGGCCCUGCUUGCAGGGUACUCGAGUGGCGAACGGGUGAGUAACACGUGGGUGAUCUGCCCUGCACUUCGGGAUAAGCUUGGGAAACUGGGUCUAAUACCGGAUAGGAGCCAUCUUUAGUGUGGUGGUUGGAAAGUUUUUUCGGUGUAGGAUGAGCUCGCGGCCUAUCAGCUUGUUGGUGGGGUAAUGGCCUACCAAGGCGGCGACGGGUAGCCGGCCUGAGAGGGUGUACGGCCACAUUGGGACUGAGAUACGGCCCAGACUCCUACGGGAGGCAGCAGUGGGGAAUAUUGCACAAUGGGCGCAAGCCUGAUGCAGCGACGCCGCGUGGGGGAGGAAGGCCUUCGGGUUGUAAACUCCUUUCGCUAGGGACGAAGCUUUUUUGUGACGGUACCUAGAUAAGAAGCACCGGCUAACUACGU
rnacentral:rRNA from 1 species